rnacentral:lncRNA from 1 species
UAAGGGGUCAUCCAAGUCGGGUUCUGUUCUACCUGCAAUAUUGUGUUAGUUUUAUUAAAAGCAGGUAUAUGGACAUGUUGUAUGUACACUUCAUCGGGAAGCUGUUCCAAUUCUUCUUUGGAUAAUCGGCUAAGCAGAUCUGCUUCCUCAUUUUCCUCUCGGGAUAUUCUUUGAAAUCUGAUGGUUAUUCCUCGACUUGCGAGCUCGGCUUCUAAAGUUUUUACUUUAGCCAGGUAAUUCUGCAUAAUGGGAUCUCUAGCCUGAUACAUCCCUGUUACUUGGUUGAUCACCAGCUGAGAGUCGCUGUUUAUCUCGAGAUCGGUUACUCCCACUUCCAGCGCCAC